rnacentral:snRNA from 1 species
GGAUGUGAGGGUAGGGCUGUAACAAAUGUCCUCUAGUGCACUGAUUGCCAGGGUUGAUUCAGCUGACCUGCCUAAUUAGGCAGGUGUUCCCCUUCCUCCCUCACUACAUGCAUUACUCUCAAAGCUGUGCUCUUGUUGAAGAGAUGACUUUUCCUGAUAGAAGAGGACCAUUCUCUGGUCAAAGAUGUGUGAGAAGCUGUCCUUUCCUGUUCCAACCUCCAAGUAAGCUCUCAAGAGCCACACACUGCAGCAGGAUUGAGAUUCAAACACACACACACACACACACACACACAGCCUCUGAGGCAGAGUUCCUGAAUUUU